UAAUAAAUUUUUAUAGUUUAAAGAAUUUAUUAUGAAUUUAUUUUACAUAUAAAUUUUAGUGUUAAAUUUUUAAUAUUUUAAAAAUAUUAUUAAUUUUAAAAUAGUAAUUAAUAUUAAAUAUUUAAGAAAUUAAGAUUUAGUAAUAUUUAAAUUAAAAACUAAUUUUGUGCCAGCAGUUGCGGUUAUACAAAAAUUAAUAUAAAAUAUAUUAGUAUUUAAUUAAUAAAUAAUUUAUAUAUAAAAUAAAUUUUAAAUUAUUAGGUGAAAUUUUAAUUUAAUAUAAUUUUAUAUCUGAUUUAUGAUUUAAUAAAUUUAAUUGUAAACUAGGAUUAGAUACCCUAUUAUUUUAAAAAUAAAAAUUUAAAAUUAAAGUAAUAAAUAAUUAUUUAUUGAAAUUUAAAUAAUUUGGCGGUAUUUUAGUUUAUUUAGAGGAAUCUGUUUAUUAAUUGAUAAUCCACGAAUUAAUUUACUUAAUUUUAAUAUUUUGUAUAUCGUUGUUAAAAAAAUAUUUUAAAAUAAUAAAUAAUAUUUAAUAAUUUUUAUGAUAAAUUUAAAUCAGAUCAAGAUGCAGAUUAUAAUUAAGAAUAUAAUGGAUUACAAUAAAUUUAUUUAUAUGAAAAUUUAUAUGAAAAAUAAAUUGAAGGUGGAUUUAAAUGUAAUUUUAUUUAUUUUAAUAAAAUGAUUUAAAAUUAAAAUAUGUACAUAUUGCCCGUCGCUUUCAUUAAUAAGUUGAAAUAAGUCGUAACAAAGUAGAGGUACUGGAAAGUGUUUCUAGAAAGAU
rnacentral:rRNA from 1 species